rnacentral:misc_RNA from 1 species
ACGUGCACAUCGGUGUGUGUCCGACUCUCUUCUCGCGCUCCCUCCAUCCUACGCCGCCCUCUUGUCCUCCGCUCGGCACACUCCCCCCUUCCCCCGUCUCCGUCGUCGUUUCCGCCAAGGUUUUGAUUCGCAUUCGAAAAAGCACCGCGACAAGUCACCCCACAGCGCUCUGCCCCCUCCCCUUGACCUCACACCUGCCCCACCCACUACCACCAUCGCUGUCAUACACACCACCGUGCACGUCCCUUCCACCACGCUUCCGCGUCUGCAACUUUCGGACGGCUUGUGAGCUUCUCUUUUGUUUUCAUCGCUUGGCCGCUCUGGCAUGCCGUGCCAGAUCGAAGCCGCCUUCAACCUCACAACAUCAGCACCUACCGGCUUUGCCCUCCCCCCUAUCCUCAGAGCCCGUAGGCAACACUUCUCUUGUCGCACCCCCUCUCCCCCCACUUUACCGUCCUUUGUACCCCCUACCCCCACACGCGCACAAACACACACACACACACACCAAUUUCGGUGCCUUCGCGUGCUUCCUUAGAAGCAAAGAGCGGAUUUCCUCGCUUCUCUGCAUCCCUUUGCCUGCCCCUCCCCCUCCCCCUCCCCUCCUCUCCCCUCUUACACAGGUACACGCCACACAUAUCUACUUGGCAAGCAAUCCAUUCAUACUUAGACCCCCCCCCCUCUUUUGUGUGCUCCAGGGAACCACGUACGUCUCCAAGACCUCCUCCCUCCCCACACGUGCGCCCUCUCUCCCUUUUUGUUGUUCUCUCCCCCGCUCAUCGUUGCAGCGGGUGAAGAGCCGGCGCUGAGGCCGACGCACUUGCCUGUGCGUCGGCCCAGGAGACGACGUGUGCGCAAAGGAGGAAGUGAAAAGGCACAGAAAAAGAGACAAGGUACACACGCAGAGCGACUGCCCCCCUCCCCCAUCCCUCCCUCCCUCCCUCUUGUACCUCUUUAUCAUACCUCACCGUCGCUACUUGUAGUCUCGGAUACACGGAACCCAUCUACGCCCUGCCCCGCCGCUCCUUUCUUUUUCCCUUUUUGUUUCCUUCUCACUACCCCCUCUCUCCUUUGCGGUGGAAGAGUUGCGCACGGUUCGCGCGCCCCCCUUCACCCCCCCCUUCUCCUGCAUCGCCGCUUUCCGGCCGGCAGAAUUUCUUCUCUCUUUAGUUUCUCUUAUUUCACGUUCUACGCGCCACACGAAGCGGGGCCGGAGAGAGGGGGGCCCGAAAAAAAAAAACAGACGCACGAAGAGAGCACAAACGCCGCCUGUGACCAAGACGGCGCGACGUGACUUUCUCUCCUUCCUCUCUGUCUUUGCUGUUGCGCGUGCUCUCUUUUAACGCAUCACUUCUUUGUUGGCUCCGGCGGACGGCCUUGACGCGUCUGCGCAGAAACGAAACAAAUCAGGAGAGUGUGGUUGCUGCCCACCCCUCACUCUCCCCUCUUUCUCUCUCUCUGCCCGGCUCGUUGCGGCGUUAG